rnacentral:rRNA from 1 species
AUUGAACGCUGGCGGCAUGCCUUACACAUGCAAGUCGAACGGUAACAGGUCUUCGGAUGCUGACGAGUGGCGAACGGGUGAGUAAUACAUCGGAACGUGCCCGAUCGUGGGGGAUAACGCAGCGAAAGCUGUGCUAAUACCGCAUACGAUCUACGGAUGAAAGCGGGGGAUCGCAAGACCUCGCGCGGACGGAGCGGCCGAUGGCAGAUUAGGUAGUUGGUGGGAUAAAAGCUUACCAAGCCGACGAUCUGUAGCUGGUCUGAGAGGACGACCAGCCACACUGGGACUGAGACACGGCCCAGACUCCUACGGGAGGCAGCAGUGGGGAAUUUUGGGCAAUGGGGGCAACCCUGACCCAGCGACGCCGCGUGAGGGAGACGGCCUUCGGUUGUAACCUCUUUGUACGGGAAGAAGGACGUGACGGUACCGUGCGAAUAAGUCCCGGCGUAACUACGUG